AAUCAACGCUGGCGGCGUGCCUCAGACAUGCAAGUCGAACGCGAAAGUCUCCUUCGGGGGGACAAGUAGAGUGGCGCACGGGUGAGUAACACGUAGGUAAUCUACCUUUGGAUGGGGAAUAACAACCGGAAACGGUUGCUAAUACCGCAUAAUGCAGCGGCACCUAAUGGUGACAGUUGUUAAAGCGGGGGGAUCGAAAGACCUCGCGUCUGAAGAGGAGCCUGCGGCGGAUUAGCUAGUGGUAAGGUAAUGGCUUACCAAGGCUACGAUCCGUAACCGGCCUGAGAGGGCGGUCGGUCACACUGACACUGACAUACGGGUCAGACUCCUACGGGAGGCAGCAGUCGGGAAUUUUGGGCAAUGGGCGAAAGCCUGACCCAGCAACGCCGCGUGAAGGAUGAAAUCCCUCGGGAUGUAAACUUCGCAAGAACGGGAAGAA
rnacentral:rRNA from 1 species